AUGGACAUGUACUUGAGGUUGUCGGGAGCAAGGCGAGAUGGUGGUGCUCAUCUUCACCUGCUACUCUGCUCGAGCUCCUACAUGUGCUCGAUUUUAAGAACAGAAGAAGUUCAAGAUAUCCCACUGUGUCACCACCCGCCCAUUGCAGCCGCCACUCAAGAAACAAUCAAAUUUGGGGCAUGCAAGAAGAGGAAGAUAUUGCAAGAGCAGGGACGUGGUCAGGGGGAAGGGAAAGGGGGAGGCUGGCGACCUGGGCACCCUGGACCAGGGGAGCCACAAUUGAGUGAGCUGCUGGGGGAGGAGCAGAUGCAGCUUGGAGCUGAGAGAGAUGGAAUGAUCAAGGAGGAUUUGGGGAAAACCACUAUUGAACAGGAAAAUUCAAAUACCCCCUGUGUUACCACCCGCCCAUUGCAGCCGCCACUCAAGAAACAGUCAAAUUUCGGGCACACAAGAGGAAGAGAUUGCAAGAGGGCGUGCAGAUGCAGUUAG
rnacentral:rRNA from 1 species